rnacentral:ncRNA from 1 species
AAUCGGCUAGACUAAAAAAUAUUGUACUUUAAAUAUGUUUUUUUWAAUUUGUACUUAUAUAAUGUUUAAAUUUUAAGGUAAAAUAAAGAAUUAUUUUUAUUGAUAAUUUAAAAAUAAAAUUUUUUCUAAAAAUUGGAUUAGUACCCAAGUAUUAAAAAUUUAAAAGUACAGGAUUAAGUUUUAAUUUAAACUGAAAGAAUAUUGGCAGAUUUUUUAAUUAUCUUUGGAGGUUGAAAUGUAAUUGAGAGCCCUCAUUAUCAACUUCUUUUUUUGAUUCAUGUAUGAUCGUUUUUUAUAUUUUUAAGAAAUUUAAGUAAAUAUUUUAUAUAAAAAAAUAGAUAAAUACCUGGUUUAUAAAGAAGUUUUCCUUUGACCUACAAUAUAUUAUUAUUUGGAUUAGAUUUUUAGUAGAUCUAUGAAAUUGUAAAAGACAGUAAAACUUUUUUUAUGUAAGUUUGAAGAUUAUCAAAAAAUGGUACAAAUCAUCCAUCAAUUGCCUAAAGGGGAGUAAGUUGUA